UGGUGGAGCGAUUUGUCUGGUUAAUUCCGAUAGCGAACGAGACUCUGGCCUAUUAAAUAGUUCGCCGAUUCCGAUCUGUCGGCGUUAACUUCUUAGAGGGACAAGUGGCUUUUAGCCACGCGAGAUUGAGCAAUAACA
rnacentral:rRNA from 1 species